ACAUGAUUAGCAUGAAGCUGGCAUGAUGCUAGCAUGAUUAGCAUGAAGCUAACAUGAUGCUAGCAUGAUUAGCAUGAAGCUAGCAUGAGGCUAGCAUGAUUAGCAUGAAGUAAGCAUGAGGUUAGCAUGAUUAGCAUAAAGCUAACAUGAUUUAACAUGAAGUUAGCAUGAUUAGCAUGAUGCUAGCAUGAUUAGCAUGAAGCUAACAAGAUUUAACAUGAAGCUAACAUGAUUUAGCAUGAUGUUAGCAAGCUAUAUCAUGAAAUUAGCAUAAGGCUAGCAUGAAACUAGCAUGAAGCUAGUAUGACUUAGCAUGAAGCUAGCAUGAAGCUAGCAUGACCCAAAGACCCAACCCCCAUGUCUCUAUGAUGUUCAGAUCCAGAGAUAUAAGGCUUUGUUUAUUAUGUUGCUAGGGUGCUCAUAUUUGGUUGCUAGGGGCGUGGCUUAAUACCUCAAUAAGAAUCCCAUUGAGACUGAUUGGAUGCCUGAGUAAUAUGAGCCCACCCCUAUGUCUCUAUGACACGCUGGUGCAAAGAUAUGCAUCUGUGCUUUUUAUAAUGGUAGUCUAUGGGAGAUGUUGCUAGGGUACCCAAAAUUGUUGCUAGGGGCGUGGCUUAAUAGCUCUGUGGUGAUCCUAAGAGACUGAUUGGUUGCCUGAGUAAAAUGAGCCCACACCCAUGUCUCUACGACACUCUAAAGUGAAGAAAUUCCAUCUGGGACGUUUUUAUUCCCUUUUAUGGGCAUGUUUCCUGCCCCAUUAUAAGUCAAUGGGAAAUUUUGGGGGCCUCUUACACCCCAGGGGUACAGCUUACACCCCAUUGUGAGGUAUGUUCUUACACAGCCUGUCAGCCUCCUUAAAUGUGGUAAGCCACAAGUUUCUACAAGUUUCUCACUCACAGCUAUGACCCGUCAAAGUUUGUCUCAAUGUUAAGUCAAUGGAAAUUUUGGGGUGUUCGAGCCCCCCGUUUAGGAAUUCGGAAGGUCCCAUCAGUUAGAAAAGAUAUAGCACACUAAGUCAGACCAGUCUGAAGGUCUGUGGAAAAUUUGGUGCAUGUAGCUUGAAAGCCCUAGGACGAGUUAGUGUCAGAAAUUUGGGGUAGAAUAAUAAUAAUAACUAGAUAUUAAAGUUUGAAGACAAACUUUAUGUUGGCUUGAAAAAGCGAGUCUGAACAUUUUAAACAAUUUCACAGGAUAAACGUUUACUUGAGAAGUUUAGUUUAGUCUAGCUGUUUGCAUGUUUUAGUAUGAUGCUAGCAUGAUUAAACAAAGUUACCAUGACUUAACAUGAAGCUAACACGAUUUAACAUCAUUUAACAAAGUUAACAUUAUGUUAGCAUAAUUUAGAAUGAAGUUAGCAUGAUUUAGCAUAAAGUUAGCAUGAUUUAAUACAAAGCUAUAGCCUAUAGUUUAGCAUGAAGCUCCCUGCUGAAAAAACUGCAUCACACCAGCAUGGACCAGCAUGGAAAUUAUGCUGGUUUGAUGCUGGUUUAGCUGGUGGUUUCAAGCACCAAAACACAACAUAUGCUGGUCUUGCUGGUAUGACCAGCAUGGGAUGCUGGUGCUACUGCUUGUUUGGUGCUGGUUUAGCUGGUGCUAAUGCUGGUGCUGAUGCUGGUUUAGCUUGUGUUCAGUAGCUAACCAGCACCAAAACACAACAUAUGCUGGUCUUGCUGGUAUGCUGCUUUGUUCAGCAGGGCUAGCUUGAUUUAAUAUGAGGCUAGCUAGGAUGAUUAGCUAGGAUGCUGCUAUGCAGUUGCUAUGUAAUUGUUAGCUACAAGAUCAGAGUAUGCAGUAAACAUGAAGGUUUUGAUGCUUGAAACUUCAAUAUAUUUAAAUUCAUUAUUAGUUGGGAAAACAUUUAUGCAGCAUUUUUCGGACAAUAAUGUAAUGCAUAAUGAUAUUCAUGUUUUUUUACAUCUGGGAACUGAUACACAGUAUACUUUAAUGCACACUGCUGUUGUUUUUAUGUGAAUAUUGAUGCAUCUUUUCUUUUAUCUAUGUUUUAGACAAGAUAAAUAGGAUGUUGACCUUUGAUUUUUCCCAGCUGGUGCUUUACUGCAACAUCUAUGUGAAUUGUUUGCCAUUUAAGAGGUUCACAAAUAGUCACUAGGAUAAUGACACUGAUGAUAGUGUGUCUGUACCUAUUGAUUGAAACCUUUAUUGCCCCGAAGGGAAUUUGUUCUGCACUCAAGGAAGCCACAUUAACAAACAUCCAACGACAUGGCAAACAUAAAAAACCAAAACAUAAACAACACAAGACAAUAAUUAUAGCAAUAAUAAUGGCAUACAAUAAGUCCAAUAUCUAAAUAAAUCGAUAGCUAAUUAAAAAUGUCUAAUUAAAAAUGUCUUUAAAAAAUUAUUUUUUGUGCCUCUGUCUGAUCUGUUCAGUAACUGAAUGCUCCUCGGUACAAAUGAUGUAAUGGCACGUUUCGUUUUUGUUGAUGGCAUUCGAAAUCUACAUCCAGAUGGGAGUAAGAAGAACUCUAAGAAAAGUGGGUGGGAUGGAUCAUCCAGUAUCCUCAAUGCCAGAUUGAGGGUAUACUGGUCUGUAAGAUUGGAGAUGGUUUUAACAUCAGAUCCAGUAAUUUUUCUGCCCAUUUUAGUCACCUUAUCCAGCAUAUUCCUGUUCUAUCAGUGCCAUCUUAUCACUGUGUAAUAUUUUAGGCCAGAGCUUCCCAAACUUAACACUGGUAAGCCCCCCCAAAAACAUAGCAAAAGCUCCACGACCCCCCCCCCCCCCAUUUGUAGUAUAACAUAUCUUUUUAAUAAAGCCGAUUGUCUCUUUGCACAUUACCAACAUUUAAUAACCAGUUUUUAAGAAUCUCAUGUGAAUCAUGAGAACUAUGGAAAGUAUUUUAUAUUCUGUUGAAAGAUGACGUAAAAAUUCUUUACAAAUAAAUGAAGAGUUUCGUUGCAAAACGAGAUAAAUCCAUUUUUUUACAUUUUUGUGAAAAUAUGUUUAUUAUUAUGUUAUCAUGUUAUUAUUUUGUUUUAUGGUGCUACUUAGCUGUAUUUUUUAAGUUAUGAAGGUUUAAAUCAAAACAAAACAACUGCAGUUGAAUUGAAAUUAAUUGGAAUGCACAACCAAAAAACAAGAUUUCUGAACAAUUAAAAAAAUGGUGGUUAUCUCGUCUUGCAACGAAACUCUUCAUAUAUAAAACCAUAACACUACAUACUUUCUGCAAAGUAUUUAUCAUUAUAACACAAAGGGGUGGUUUCCCGGACAGGGAUUAGACUAGUCCUAGACUAAAAUAAAUAUAAGAGCUGUCCAAACUGAAAACAACAUGCACUGACAUAUCUUAAAAUACAUCAGUGCCCUUUGUUUUUCCUUAAAAUGCACGCCAGUAUGUUUUUAGUAAGGCAUUUUUAUUCAAACUAGUUAUAUUUCAUAAUUAAACUAAGGCCUUGUCCUGUCUUAAGGUAAUCCCAGUCUGGGAAACCACCCAAAAGUGUGUAACAGAAGCUACAUAGCUCACAAAUAGUUCAUAAAUCUAUUGCAAUGAAUUACAUAACUAUGUUAAAAAAUAUAAAAAAAUAUAUAAAAACGUUUAAGCAAUGUAUCUCACCUCAGUAUAAUAAAAAAAUGAAAUAAAUAUAAACAAAUAUACAAUAUAUACAUAAAUACGCUUUAAUAUCACAUGAUUUUUUUAUUUAGCCUAGUCAAGGUCCCCCGCAGUACUGCGACGGCCCACUGGGGGGCAGCGGCCCACAGUUUGGGAAGCACUGUUUAAGGCAAAGAAUUUAUCAAUUUAUUGUAGAAUUGUCCAUUUUGGGCAUUUCUCAAAGUUAAUCAAUUAAAUAAAAUAACGAACAAAAUGAUAAGCAUUUUAUAUAUAUAAGAGCAAAUGAGUUCAUAUGGCCAUUGAUAGCAUUAUAUUUAUUUUAUUUUCAUUUAUAUCACUGUUUAAGGAAGAUUUUCUUGUUUUAUUAUUUUUAAUAUUAUGGUUUAAUAUUGUCUGCCCCGUAUCCAAAGCUCAAAUGUGAUAAUAUUUUAUAUAUAUUUUUGAAAUAUUUUUGUUACACGACUAGUAUUCAGGUAUUAGGUAACAUCACGUGAUUAAUUCAAACCAAUGAGACGACAGCUUUGGACGAGAGUCUGUAUAGCUAAUGAGCUUGCUUCCGGUUCUCACUGGUUUUGCCUUCACUGAGCGAGCGCCACUUUCUCAGCUAUCUCUUGAGACAUUUUUGUGGUAAGUCAUUUAUAUAACAAUCUCUGUUGCAACAUAAUACUUUUUUUCUGAACAGUUAACCUUGCACAUGAUAUUUAAGUAGUAAUGUUUAAUUUUUCUUUCUUUUGCUCUUUUGAAAACUUUAACUGCUUUAGCUAAACCUCAGCCAAAUUCCUGGUUUUGCUGGGCAACAGCACCUAUUUCAUACAAUUUUUUAUAGCGAACCCAAAGGCUCUUUUCAGAGCCAUCCACAUUGCGUCACUGAUUGGACAUCUAAUUCAUCUUUAUUGGACAUCUAAUUCAUCUUUCAGCUUGCCUCUUAAAAACUGCCAGGAAACCCAAAAAAUCACCGAUUCAACUAAAAAAACAAAGCCUACAAUUUCUACCCAAAAAAAACGACCCAAUUUUUUACCCCACCCAACCAAUCUGUUGCCCUAACCCCCAUACACCGACUUUCCCCAAAACAGAACGUCCCUUUAACUUUUUGCUUUGACAGAAAAAGUGAGAACAGAACUACCUACAGCUCCAGUGUGCCCUGCUGCCUUGAGUGUCUUCACAAAGCAACGUUGAUUAGAGGACUGCGUUGGGAAAUCAACACCAUCAACACACACAAUAAUUUACUAUAGUUUUAAAAUUACAUAAUUUCCUAUAGUCUUUUAGACUGCUUAUAAUAGAUAAUACACAUUACAGUACUUUUAAAAGUCAUUAAUAUAUCAGUAAAAAAAAAAUUGUUUUUGAAGUUCAUCUUUGAAACGUAUUACAUUUAUAUCUGAGUCUUUUCACAUUUGUCUAUACUCUACUAAUUAAUUGCAUUAGUAAUAUUGCCUUUGGUUAUCAUUUCUGUACAAUAUUGGGGUUAACAGUUCAACAGUUCCAUUGCUAUAGUCUUGUGUGUUUGUAUAUCUAAUUUCUUGACUGUUUUAACGGUGAAAUUUUAGUACAGUACUUUAAUAUAUCAGUAAAAUAUUCUAAGUUUGACUGUUGUUGUAACUGCUAUUUGAAUAGACUACAUUUAAAGGUCAUUAAAAUAUUUUGGUUUGCCAAGUU